CUAAUACCCAGUGGAGUGCAUUAACUCUUAUGAUUGCUUAAAUUGAUUUUACUGUUUUAUCAGUUACUAUUGAACAAAUGAAAGGAUGCUGAUGAAGCAGUGUACUGUAGGCUUGUCUGCAAAGUUUCUCUUGGAGUCAUCUCCAUAUGAAUGAUUUCAUACAGCACAGAAAUAGUUUUAUGUAGAUAUUGACCUUGGAAAGAAACAAAACCAUGGCUUGGUAUUGAGGUUAGGUACAUGGAUCACGAAUUGCCCUGCAAAGAGAAGGCUCUAAUGAGGGUGUCACCAGCCUGCGUCCUCCAUGUUGGUGUGUGGUGGCCACGGCCGGCUGGCAGGUGCUGCGGAGCUGCACCCUCCCCUCCUCAGCAGGUCGGGCAGAAACCAAAGUGGAAAAGUCUGUGGUAGAGAGGAAGCCAGGAAGAUGGCUUAGCAGUUACUGGCAUGUGCAGAUAGACUCAGCUUGGGGACAAUUAGUUUAUUGCCAAUUAAAACCAGAUUGGCCCAGUCAUGGCCUGAGGUGGGGCUGUUGGCACCUGCUGUGACAGGUCUGGGGCAGCUGCGGCCUGUCCUCACAGCACCCUGCAGGCCGCAGUGCGUCAGCACCCCAAAUACUGUGGUGAAACAGGAAGAUUUAAUGUACAACAGAGAGCAAGGACAACUUGUCCCUAGCCCUGUUAGAGGGCAAACAGGAGAUGUUAAAGGAGAAGACCAGUUCAGAAGGAGCAGGAUAAAUAAUAUUAUGGAAGAAGAAAAUACCAUCUUUUCAGAGAAUAUGGUUGCUGCAAUAAAGACCUGAAUGUUGUCUGGCUUAAGCUGGGGCCUUUUAUUUUUUAACAAUGACUUUGUUGGAAAUGAAAUACUGAAGACAAACGAGUCCCAGUAAACAGGAAUUUUGCUGCAGAAAGAAACAAAAUGGGAUUUGGCUUGUAAUCCAGUUGCUUUGCCUUUUUCCCUAAUAAACUCUCUGUAAACGAAUAGAUGAACCA
rnacentral:lncRNA from 1 species